AUACGGAGGAUCCGAGCGUUAUCCGGAUUUAUUGGGUUUAAAGGGAGCGUAGGCGGACGCUUAAGUCAGUUGUGAAAGUUUGCGGCUCAACCGUAAAAUUGCAGUUGAUACUGGUUUCCUUGAGUACGGUACAGGUGGGCGGAAUUCGCGGUGUAGCGGUGAAAUGCUUAGAUAUCACGAAGAACCCCGAUCGCGAAGGCAGCUCACCGGGCCGGAACUGACACUGAUGCUCGAAAGUGCGGGUAUCAAACAGGAUUAGAUACCCUGGUAGUCCGCACAGUAAACGAUGAAUACUCGCUGUUUGCGAUACACGGUAAGCGGCCAAGCGAAAGCGUUAAGUAUUCCACCUGGGGAGUACGCCGGCAACGGUGAAACUCAAAUGAAUUGGCGGGG
rnacentral:rRNA from 1 species